rnacentral:rRNA from 1 species
CGAAGGGUGCUAGCGUUGUUCGGAAUUACUGGGCGUAAAGCGCGCGUAGGCGGCUUUGUAAGUCAGGGGUGAAAUCCCACAGCUUAACUGUGGAACUGCCUUUGAAACUGCAAGGCUUGAGUGUCGGAGGGGAUAGCGGAAUUGCUAAUGUAGAGGUGAAAUUCGUAGAUAUUAGCAGGAACACCGGUGGCGAAGGCGGCUAUCUGGACGACAACUGACGCUGAGGCGCGAAAGCGUGGGGAUCAAACAGGAUUAGAUACCCUGGUAGUCCACGCUGUAAACGAUGGAUGCUAGCUGUUGGGGGGUUACCUCUCAGUAGCGUAGCUAACGCGUUAAGCAUCCCGCCUGGGGAGUACGGUCGCAAGAUUA